GUGGCCCCCAGCAGCAGCUGGAAGACCUGCGUUGCCAUACCACCUUUACAUGCAGACCCUCUAGGCACCAGCUCUAGGGCUGGCGAGAUGGCUCAGUGAUGAAAGGUACUUGCCACCAAGCCUGAUGGAUGAGCUGAGUUCCAUUCCUGGGACCCACAUGGUGGAAGCAGAGAACUGACUCCCGAGAGUUGUCCUCUGCCCUCAACAUGCACUCAGUGGGAAACAUGCACCCACACACAUACACAAAAUAAAAAUGAUUUCCUUCAAAGCCUA